CCAGUAGCCAAGCUAAGCAUUAAUGCUUUCCGAAGCGGCUGCACAUGCGCAGUGGUGUGCAGCUGUGGGUCGAGGCUCCGGUUCCAACUUGCUAAUAUUCCACUUCACAUUUUCUGGCCGGUGAAAGCCGAGAAGUCAGGCAGUUACUUAAUUAUGAAGCUGGCUUUUGGUAGUGGUGUGUGUGUGUGUUUCUUCUCUGCUAACUUGAGGAAUGAACAGAAGGCUUCUCUACUGUGGGGAAACGUGGUCAGCAGCAUGCCCCUAUGAUCGCUCUAGGUGUGCAGUCAGAAAAGAGAUGAACAAAGGUCGUUAUCUUCAAAACACACGAGUGAAGAACAUUCAGCUCAGCUGUGAGCGCCUUUCCUAGCAUGCCCAGGGACUAGGGUUUCAUCUACACUAUAAAUAUAAAACUGCUACGGCUUGAGGUGAACUCAAUCAAAGUGUACUCCGUCGUGUAUGGAACUGUCACCGUGGAGCCCACUGCGGUACAAAGUCAGCUUGUACUAAGAAUUAAGAUACGGAAGAUACAGUACUCAGGCUUCCCCUCCUGGCUCUAGUCUGACAAGCAGGACUAAACGUCGUGGAGCUCAAGUAUAAAUUCCAGCAGAAACACAGCAUGCAGGACAGCUAGAUGGAAACGAAGGCUCAAAGUGAUACAUGGAGUGAAUAAAAGAACCCCAAAGCGGAUCCUACCUCAAAGGAUGAGCACAGUGUAGGGAAGGCCGCAGAAGGAACAUUUAUUUAUAAAUUGGUAUAUCUGAGUGUUUUCCCUGCAUGCAUGUCCAUGAACCUCAUGUACGCCUCAUGCCAAUCAAGGUCAGAAGAGAGAGUCACUUCCCACGGAACUGGAGCAACAGACAGUUGUGAGCCACCAUGUGGGUGCUGGGAAUUGAAUCUGGUUCCCUCUGGAAGAACAGCCAGUGGUCUCAAUCACAGAGCCAGCUAUCCAGCUUCUAUCCGGGGACCCCCUUGCCUCAGUCUGACUUUCCUGCCUGGCAACAUCUUUAUGACUCUUAAAUGAUCCAAACAGAC